rnacentral:misc_RNA from 1 species
GGACCACCCGUGCCUACUGUCGGAGCUUGAUUACGAGGAUCGUCUGGCGAUCUCAAAGUCUGCGCUGAUACGACAGCACAUAAAACCAAAGUAGCGAGCGCGGCAAUAAGCGCCCUAGUUGCGAGUCUCAUCGCAUUCCUCCUGCGAAAUGAGUAUAGAAGUUUGAUUAUGAAUGCCACCGUCGGCAAGUAGCCAGCUUACAAUUGACCGGCGUGUCGUCCUUGCGAUGCGGAGGCGCCAACUACAAGCUGACGAAUCGAACUCUCAAAACCCCGUGUUCAAACCUACGGUGUACGUGAAAACAAGACCAACCAAACCAUGAUCA